GGGUUGUGAGGUUAAGCGACUAAGCGUACACGGUGGAUGCCCUGGCAGUCAGAGGCGAUGAAGGGCGUGCUAAUCUGCGAUAAGCGCCGGUAAGGUGAUAUGAACCGUUAUAACCGGCGAUACCCGAAUGGGGAAACCCAGUGUGAUUCGUCACACUAUCAUUAACUGAAUCCAUAGGUUAAUGAGGCGAACCGGGGGAACUGAAACAUCUAAGUACCCCGAGGAAAAGAAAUCAACCGAGAUUCCCCCAGUAGCGGCGAGCGAACGGGGAGGAGCCCAGAGCCUGAAUCAGCAUGUGUGUUAGUGGAAGCGUCUGGAAAGGCGCGCGAUACAGGGUGACAGCCCCGUACACAAAAGCGCAUGUGCUGUGAGCUCGAUGAGUAGGGCGGGACACGUGGUAUCCUGUCUGAAUAUGGGGGGACCAUCCUCCAAGGCUAAAUACUCCUGACUGACCGAUAGUGAACCAGUACCGUGAGGGAAAGGCGAAAAGAACCCCGGCGAGGGGAGUGAAAAAGAACCUGAAACCGUGUACGUACAAGCAGUGGGAGCACGGGCGUUAAGUUGCAGGGUAUAGACCCGAAACCCGGUGAUCUAGCCAUGGGCAGGUUGAAGGUUGGGUAACACUAACUGGAGGACCGAACCGACUAAUGUUGAAAAAUUAGCGGAUGACCUGUGGCUGGGGGUGAAAGGCCAAUCAAACCGGGAGAUAGCUGGUUCUCCCCGAAAGCUAUUUAGGUAGCGCCUCGUGAAUUCAUCUCCGGGGGUAGAGCACUGUUUCGGCUAGGGGGCCAUCCCGGCUUACCAACCCGAUGCAAACUGCGAAUACCGGAGAAUGUUAUCACGGGAGACACACGGCGGGUGCUAACGUCCGUCGUGAAGAGGGAAACAACCCAGACCGCCAGCUAAGGUCCCAAAGUCAUGGUUAAGUGGGAAACGAUGUGGGAAGGCCCAGACAGCCAGGAUGUUGGCUUAGAAGCAGCCAUCAUUUAAAGAAAGCGUAAUAGCUCACUGGUCGAGUCGGCCUGCGCGGAAGAUGUAACGGGGCUAAACCAUGCACCGAAGCUGCGGCAGCGACACUGUGUGUUGUUGGGUAGGGGAGCGUUCUGUAAGCCUGUGAAGGUGUGUCGUGAGGCAUGCUGGAGGUAUCAGAAGUGCGAAUGCUGACAUAAGUAACGAUAAAGCGGGUGAAAAGCCCGCUCGCCGGAAGACCAAGGGUUCCUGUCCAACGUUAAUCGGGGCAGGGUGAGUCGACCCCUAAGGCGAGGCCGAAAGGCGUAGUCGAUGGGAAACGGGUUAAUAUUCCCGUACUUGGUGUUACUGCGAAGGGGGGACGGAGAAGGCUAUGUUGGCCGGGCGACGGUUGUCCCGGUUUAAGCGUGUAGGUGUGUGUUCCAGGUAAAUCCGGUUCACUUUAACACUGAGGCGUGACGACGAGGCACUACGGUGCUGAAGCAACAAAUGCCCUGCUUCCAGGAAAAGCCUCUAAGCAUCAGGUAACAUCAAAUCGUACCCCAAACCGACACAGGUGGUCAGGUAGAGAAUACCAAGGCGCUUGAGAGAACUCGGGUGAAGGAACUAGGCAAAAUGGUGCCGUAACUUCGGGAGAAGGCACGCUGACACGUAGGUGAAGUGAUUUACUCAUGGAGCUGAAGUCAGUCGAAGAUACCAGCUGGCUGCAACUGUUUAUUAAAAACACAGCACUGUGCAAACACGAAAGUGGACGUAUACGGUGUGACGCCUGCCCGGUGCCGGAAGGUUAAUUGAUGGGGUCAGCGCAAGCGAAGCUCCUGAUCGAAGCCCCGGUAAACGGCGGCCGUAACUAUAACGGUCCUAAGGUAGCGAAAUUCCUUGUCGGGUAAGUUCCGACCUGCACGAAUGGCGUAAUGAUGGCCAGGCUGUCUCCACCCGAGACUCAGUGAAAUUGAACUCGCUGUGAAGAUGCAGUGUACCCGCGGCAAGACGGAAAGACCCCGUGAACCUUUACUAUAGCUUGACACUGAACAUUGAGCCUUGAUGUGUAGGAUAGGUGGGAGGCUUUGAAGUGUGGACGCCAGUCUGCAUGGAGCCGACCUUGAAAUACCACCCUUUAAUGUUUGAUGUUCUAACGUGGACCCGUUACCCGGGUUGCGGACAGUGUCUGGUGGGUAGUUUGACUGGGGCGGUCUCCUCCUAAAGAGUAACGGAGGAGCACGAAGGUUGGCUAAUCCUGGUCGGACAUCAGGAGGUUAGUGCAAUGGCAUAAGCCAGCUUGACUGCGAGCGUGACGGCGCGAGCAGGUGCGAAAGCAGGUCAUAGUGAUCCGGUGGUUCUGAAUGGAAGGGCCAUCGCUCAACGGAUAAAAGGUACUCCGGGGAUAACAGGCUGAUACCGCCCAAGAGUUCAUAUCGACGGCGGUGUUUGGCACCUCGAUGUCGGCUCAUCACAUCCUGGGGCUGAAGUAGGUCCCAAGGGUAUGGCUGUUCGCCAUUUAAAGUGGUACGCGAGCUGGGUUUAGAACGUCGUGAGACAGUUCGGUCCCUAUCUGCCGUGGGCGCUGGAGAACUGAGGGGGGCUGCUCCUAGUACGAGAGGACCGGAGUGGACGCAUCACUGGUGUUCGGGUUGUCAUGCCAAUGGCACUGCCCGGUAGCUAAAUGCGGAAGAGAUAAGUGCUGAAAGCAUCUAAGCACGAAACUUGCCCCGAGAUGAGUUCUCCCUGAGACUUAGAGUCUCCUGAAGGAACGUUGAAGACGACGACGUUGAUAGGCCGGGUGUGUAAGCGCAGCGAUGCGUUGAGCUAACCGGUACUAAUGAACCGUGAGGCUUAACCUUACAACGCCGAAG
rnacentral:rRNA from 1 species